UACGGAAGGCAGCAGUGGGGAAUAUUGCACAAUGGGCGCAAGCCUGAUGCAGCCAUGCCGCGUGUAUGAAGAAGGCCUUCGGGUUGUAAAGUACUUUCAGUCGUGAGGAAGGUGUUAAGGUUAAUAACCUUAGCAAUUGACGUUAGCGACAGAAGAAGCACCGGCUAACUCCGUGCCAGCAGCCGCGGUAAUACGGAGGGUGCGAGCGUUAAUCGGAAUUACUGGGCGUAAAGGGCACGCAGGCGGUUAAUUAAGUUGGAUGUGAAAUCCCCGGGCUUAACCUGGGAAUGGCAUUCAAGACUGGUUAGCUAGAGUCUUGUAGAGGGGGUAGAAUUCCAUGUGUAGCGGUGAAAUGCGUAGAGAUGUGGAGGAAUACCGGUGGCGAAGGCGGCCCCUUGGACAAAGGACUGACGCUCAUGUGCGAAAGCGUGGGGAGCAAACAGGGAUUAGAUACC
rnacentral:rRNA from 1 species